UACGAAGGGGGCUAGCGUUGCUCGGAAUUACUGGGCGUAAAGGGCGCGUAGGCGGAUGACUAAGUCGGGGGUGAAAGCCCGGGGCUCAACCUCGGAACUGCCUUCGAUACUGGUCAUCUUGAGUACGGGAGAGGUGUGUGGAACUCCGAGUGUAGAGGUGAAAUUCGUAGAUAUUCGGAAGAACACCAGUGGCGAAGGCGGUUCUCUGGGCCUUACCUGACGCUGAGGAGCGAAAGCGUGGGGAGCAAACAGG
rnacentral:rRNA from 1 species